ensembl:lncRNA
CCUUAUUGUGCCCCCCCGAUACUUUCUGCAGUGUUAUUCUAUACCGUGUCCAGGAGGGGGUUGUUAUUGCUUUGCUUUGUUACUUGGAAUCAAUACGGCCGGAAUGUAUAUCCUCAGAGUAUUCACCUAACUGCAGGUUUUGAUUGAAAAAUACAUUUUCAAACCAUAAAUGCCAGUCGAGAUCACUGAAGCAUCACAUACAUUCAAUAAGGUGGUAACUUUAUCCCAAGCUGCACUUCUUGGCGGGGGGGGUUCCUGCCCCGAACCCAUCAGAUCCCGUGACACUGUGAUUGACAGCUGUAUGCUUUGAACUUUACAUUUGCUCCCCAUCCAAUCAAGAAUCACCUCCUUAAAUCCCACUUCUCCCUCUUCUGGCUGCAGAAAACCGGC